rnacentral:rRNA from 1 species
AUUGAACGCUGGCGGCAGGCCUAACACAUGCAAGUCGAGCGGAUGAAGGGAGCUUGCUCCUGGAUUCAGCGGCGGACGGGUGAGUAAUGCCUAGGAAUCUGCCUGGUAGUGGGGGAUAACGUCCGGAAACGGGCGCUAAUACCGCAUACGUCCUGAUGGAGCAAGUUGGGGAUCUUCGGACCUCUCGCUAUCAGAUGAGCCUAGGUCGGAUUAGCUAGUUGGUGGGGUAAAGGCCUACCAAGGCGACGAUCCGUAACUGGUCUGAGAGGAUGAUCAGUCACACUGGAACUGAGACACGGUCCAGACUCCUACGGGAGGCAGCAGUGGGGAAUAUUGGACAAUGGGCGGAAGCCUGAUCCAGCCAUGCCGAGUGUGUGAAGAAGGUCUUCGGAUUGUAAAGCACUUUAAGGUGGGAGGAAGGGCAGUAAGUUAAUACCUUGCUGUUUUGACGUUACCAACAGAAUAAGCACCGGCUAACUUCGUG